rnacentral:rRNA from 1 species
CAAUAGCGUAUACUAGCGUUGUUGCAGUUAAAAAGCUCGUAGUUGGAUUUCUGACGGUGGUUGGAUUGGUGCGACCGCGUGUUGCAUCAACCAUACUAUUGUCAACACAUGCGAUGAGUUGGUGUGGUCAAUUUAGUUUGAUCCGCCAUUUAAUCGCUCGUUUACUUUGAGAAAAUUAGAGUGUUCAAAGCAGGCAUCUUGCCUUGAAUAUGUUAGCAUGGAAUAAUAGCAUAGGACUUUGGUUCUAUUUGUUGGUUGUUCGAGAACCGGAGUAAUGAUUGAUAGGGACGGUUGGGGGCAUCCGUAUUCUCAAGCGAGAGGUGAAAUUCUUGGACCUUGGGAAGACGAACAGCUGCGAAAGCGUUUGCCUAGGACGUUCUCUUUAA